rnacentral:rRNA from 1 species
GACGAACGCUGGCGGCGUGCUUAACACAUGCAAGUCGAACGGAAAGGCCCUGCUUUUGUGGGGUGCCCGAGUGGCGAACGGGUGAGUAACACGUGAGUAACCUGCUCUUGACUUUGGGAUAACUUCAGGAAACUGGGGCUAAUACCGGAUAGCAGCUCCUGCUGCAUGGUGGGGGGUGGAACGUUUCGGCGGUUGGGGAUGGACUCGCGGCUUAUCAGUUUGUUGGUGGGGUAGUGGCUUACCAAGGCUUUGACGGGUAGCCGGCCUGGGAGGGUGACCGGCCACAUUGGGACUGAGAUACGGACCAGACUCCUACGGGAGGCAGCAGUGGGGAAUAUUGCACAAUGGGCGGAAGCCUGAUGCAGCAACGCCGCGUGCGGGAUGACGGCCUGCGGGUUGUAAACCGCUUUCGCCUGUGACGAAGCGUGAGUGACGGUAAUGGGUAAAGAAGCACCGGCUAACUACGUG